AGAGUCUUCGGCCAUUACUUGUUCACUACGGUUAGUCAUGUACCACCAACCUCAGCUACACACCUAUACUAACACCACCGGCCCGACGAUCAAAGCCUCCAUCGUGUGCCUCUGUAGUUCUUGUUGAAAAGAUGUCGACAAUCAGUAGUUCCUGGUUUAUCACUGUGUUGGUUCUGCUACUGUUAGUGAUCCUUCAGAUUAUCAGCGUGCUUGCGCUCGAAGAAAAUGAUGCUCCAAGUCCAGGACCAUGCAAGUGGCUUGAUCCAGAGAACUGUUAAACACAAAUAAAAUGAAAUUGGAAAACUGAGCGCUUGAUCAAGUUUAGUUAGUUAGUUCAUUAUCAUAAUGUCGGUCGAUGCUGAAAACAAUUGUACUACCGGAAAUCAACUGUUGGCAGCUAGUUUGUUUGUUGGAUGUAAUAAACUCAAAGCAUAGCACACGGUAAAAAGGGGCAGUCUAUUCGGAUGGCAAUCCUGUAGUACCUGAGGAAUAUUCCAUUUAUCAUUAUGUUAUCUUUGUUGCAAUUUAACAACCUAGGUUGUGUUUUAGUUC